UUCCCCCCCUAAAAUUGGUAUCCUCAAAACACCCUUUAGGUCUUUCUCUCCGCCACCACCGUCUUCAUCAUCAUCGUUCCCCUACUUUUGCUACUUUAAGCUCCUCUUUUUCUCAACCGCCCUCAUCAACAGCAGUAACUCCUCCUCCUCCUACUUCAGUAAGAUUUUGAAUUCUUACCAAAAUGGGAGUUAACGGUCUAUGGGAACUGCUAGCUCCCGUCGACCGCUGCGUGUCCGUCGAAACCCUAGCCGGAAAGAAACUCGCCAUCAGUGAACUCUGAAUCUCUAACACUUGUAAUUUUAAAUUGUUUUAACAAAUUAUUUACUUUGUGUGUGUGUGUGUGUUUUGUUUUUGAAGAUGCAAGUAUUUGGAUGGUUCAAUUCAUGAAAGCGAUGCGAGAUGAGAAGGGAGAAAUGAUUCGAAACGCGCAUUUUUUAGGGUUUUUUUAGGAGAAUUUGCAAGCUUUUAAAGCAAAGUAAUAGUAUUUAGUUAAAAAUGAAUAACUGAAUUCAAAUAUUGUCCUUAAAAAUAUAGCAAUUGAAUUGAAUGAAAAUUGCUAAUUCUUUUUUAUUCUCUAUUUGUUUCCUUGUUAAAAUAUAAUUUCUAAUGUGUGGCGCAGAAAAUAUUGUCCUUAAAUGUGCUAGAUGUCUAUUCAUUAUCUUUUUUAUCUUCAUGAUAUUUCUUAAACUACGCUUAUUUCCAGUUAAGAAAAUAAAUUGGUACUGUAGUUGCUUCUGUCUCUUGAUAAUACUUUUUACAAUGAUUGGUUACAGAUAUGGAAAUGCUAAUGUUUGGAAGAUCUUUACCGACCUUUUUGACUAUUUUCCAUUAACUGCUUUGGUGGGUGUGCAAAUUGUUUUGAUUUCAAUUAAUAGCAACAUAAAUUUUAGGAAAGAAAGAAGGCCUCAGUCUCUUUGAUGUUUGGCAUUUUAUGUUUUAAUUGUAUUCAUUUGGCUUUGCAAUUGAAUAUCCAUAUUUUUUAUUAUCAUGGUUCUAGACUGCUAUAUUAUAUUAGCUUUGAUCAUAUUCCUUCUAUCUGAAUUUUAAGUUUUGAGAACUCAUUUUGUCUUCUUAGUUGGGCAAGAAAAAGUUGGGAUUUAUAGCUUGCUACCUUUAUCCCGUUUCAUUUUGAAAUCAUUCUAAAUAGGAACUACAAGUCUCUUACUUUAAGAAAUGACACCAAAAUCUUUUGAAAUGUCUUAUGCCACAUUGUAACUAUCAUAUGUAUAACUUUAGAACUUUGUUUCUUUGUCCUCAGGAAGCGGCUUGAUUCAUCUCUUCAAGAUUUGGAAGAGAAACAACACGGCAAGAGAGAAGUGGUGUAGCAAAGGAUUCAAUCUCUUCAAGCUGGAAAAGCCAAGGCUUAGCACUUCUUCAAGUGGAAUUUUAUUUAAUGUUGCAUUCCAUGGUCGUUUAUCUUAGUCGGAACUUGAAUUUGGUGUUAUUGAAACAAGGUUUUGUAGCUACCUUGUGUACUAGCUUCUUUAACCAUGAUUGUUAAUUAUUACGUGUUUUGUAGCUUCUUUCAUAAUUGGCCGAGUUAAUAUAGAUCAGAUGAGCUGUGAGGUAGAUUGCUCAUUUAUUUAAACAUAAUAUUUAAAUUCUAAAUUCUAAAUU